rnacentral:rRNA from 1 species
GAUGAACGCCGGCGGUGUGCCUAAUACAUGCAAGUCGUACGCACUGGCCCAACUGAUUGAUGGUGCUUGCACCUGAUUGACGAUGGAUCACCAGUGAGUGGCGGACGGGUGAGUAACACGUAGGUAACCUGCCCCGGAGCGGGGGAUAACAUUUGGAAACAGAUGCUAAUACCGCAUAACAACAAAAGCCGCAUGGCUUUUGUUUGAAAGAUGGCUUUGGCUAUCACUCUGGGAUGGACCUGCGGUGCAUUAGCUAGUUGGUAAGGUAACGGCUUACCAAGGCGAUGAUGCAUAGCCGAGUUGAGAGACUGAUCGGCCACAAUGGAACUGAGACACGGUCCAUACUCCUACGGGAGGCAGCAGUAGGGAAUCUUCCACAAUGGGCGCAAGCCUGAUGGAGCAACACCGCGUGAGUGAAGAAGGGUUUCGGCUCGUAAAGCUCUGUUGUUGGAGAAGAACGUGCGUGAGAGUAACUGUUCACGCAGUGACGGUAUCCAACCAGAAAGUCACGGCUAACUACGUGCCAGCAGCCGCGGUAAUACGUAGGUGGCAAGCGUUAUCCGGAUUUAUUGGGCGUAAAGCGAGCGCAGGCGGUUGCUUAGGUCUGAUGUGAAAGCCUUCGGCUUAACCGAAGAAGUGCAUCGGAAACCGGGCGACUUGAGUGCAGAAGAGGACAGUGGAACUCCAUGUGUAGCGGUGGAAUGCGUAGAUAUAUGGAAGAACACCAGUGGCGAAGGCGGCUGUCUGGUCUGCAACUGACGCUGAGGCUCGAAAGCAUGGGUAGCGAACAGGAUUAGAUACCCUGGUAGUCCAUGCCGUAAACGAUGAGUGCUAGGUGUUGGAGGGUUUCCGCCCUUCAGUGCCGGAGCUAACGCAUUAAGCACUCCGCCUGGGGAGUACGACCGCAAGGUUGAAACUCAAAGGAAUUGACGGGGGCCCGCACAAGCGGUGGAGCAUGUGGUUUAAUUCGAAGCUACGCGAAGAACCUUACCAGGUCUUGACAUCUUGCGCUAACCUUAGAGAAAGGCGUUCCCUUCGGGGACGCAAUGACAGGUGGUGCAUGGUCGUCGUCAGCUCGUGUCGUGAGAUGUUGGGUUAAGUCCCGCAACGAGCGCAACCCUUGUUACUAGUUGCCAGCAUUNAGUUGGGCACUCUAGUGAGACUGCCGGUGACAAACCGGAGGAAGGUGGGGACGACGUCAGAUCAUCAUGCCCCUUAUGACCUGGGCUACACACGUGCUACAAUGGACGGUACAACGAGUCGCAANCUCGCGAGAGUAAGCUAAUCUCUUAAAGCCGUUCUCAGUUCGGACUGUAGGCUGCAACUCGCCUACACGAAGUCGGAAUCGCUAGUAAUCGCGGAUCAGCAUGCCGCGGUGAAUACGUUCCCGGGCCUUGUACACACCGCCCGUCACACCAUGGGAGUUUGUAACGCCCAAAGUCGGUGGCCUAACCUUUAUGGAGGGAGCCGCCUAAGGCGGGACAGAUGACUGGGGUGAAG